rnacentral:sRNA from 1 species
CCUGAUGCUGUUAAAUUUCAGGUCUUUUUAAAAAUUAAAACAGCCCUGCACAUAUGGGAUCGAUUUGCUUAGUGGUAUAAUACCUGAACUCUGUCAGAAAUAUCCAGAUUUAAAUUUCAUAAUUGGAGGAGAGGGACCAAAGAGAAUCGUUUUGGAAGAAGUUCGGGAAAGAUACCAGCUGCAUGACAGGGUGCGUCUUUUGGGAGCUUUAGAACACAAGGAUGUUAGAAAUGUCUUAGUUCAAGGACAUAUUUUUCUGAAUACCUCCCUUACUGAAGCAUUCUGCAUGGCGAUCGUGGAAGCAGCCAGUUGUGGUUUACAGGUUGUAAGUACCAGAGUUGGUGGAAUUCCUGAGGUGCUUCCAGAAAACCUUAUUAUUUUAUGUGAGCCUUCAGUAAAAUCUUUGUGUGAAGGAUUGGAAAGGGCUAUUUUCCAACUGAAGUCAGGGACAUUGCCGGCUCCAGAAAACAUCCAUAACAUAGUAAAGACUUUCUACACCUGGAGGAAUGUUGCGGAAAGAACUGAAAAGGUAUAUGACCGGGUAUCAGUGGAAGCUGUGUUGCCAAUGGACAAACGACUGGACAGACUUAUUUCUCACUGUGGCCCAGUAACAGGCUACAUCUUUGCUUUGUUGGCAGUUUUCAACUUCCUCUUCCUCAUUUUCUUGAGAUGGAUGACUCCAGAUUCUAUCAUUGAUGUUGCAGUAGAUGCCACUGGGCCACGGAGUGCCUGGACUAAUAACUGUUCUCACAGUAAAAGAGGGAGUGAGAAUAAUGAGAUAUCUGAAACCAGGUAGAAGAAAGCCUAGACUGUAAGAUUUUAAACAUUUGUAAUAGUUCUAUAAAGACUCUGGAAAAUAACCUUGCUUUUGGGGGUUUUUGUUUUUUUAGAGUUAAUUUAGUAAGUUAUGCUACCUCUAUAUCAUUCAAUAUUUUCUGUUGAGGAAAGAUAAAAAUUUAUGCAAUUCCUGAGUGUAGAAACUUCUUGCACUUAUUUAAAAUUUAGGAGAGAACAUUUAAGCCACUCAGGUAUGAAAUUUUUCAGACUACUGAAAUCCCUGUAGCAGAGAUGUUUUAACAUUAUAUUUUGAGAGCUUUGGGUGCUGAAGGGCCAAACGUUUUCUGGGCAUUUUUUGGCCAGUUUUUAAUGUUACACCAUUAGACACUCACCAGAUGUUUACAAGUUUUCUUUAGGGAACUACAACAAUUAUAUGAACUGUUUUAUAUCAUGUUCAUAUACAUUUAUUAGGAAUCUAAAUUGUGUCUUUAAACAUUUAUUAGGUUCACUCAGUAGGUGUUACAUAUAAUUAACAGGUUCCUUGAGUAAGAUAGUCCAUCAGUUAUGAGCACAUUUUGAACCCCUGCUCUGUGUAGAAUGUUGAACUAGAUGCUUCCUGCCAUUAAGGAGCAGGGGUGCAUUCACUCUUUGUUUACCAUUCAAAUGGCUUACUUCAUUGUGAUCGUGGUUGAUACGAGAUCAAUAUCCAACAUGCCAAAAAUGCUCAUGCCAGUUAAUGCCAGGAAAAAAGUCACCGACACACUACUAGUACUUUGUUCCUGUUGUAUGCAUUCUCCUAGGUAGAGCCUUCAUCUUCAGUUGUGUUUAUGAAGAUAUUUUUUGCUUUUUAAAUACUGGGGACCGAUAUCACUGUUGAUAGUGCAGAGAAACCCUCCACAUUUUUCAGUGCAUAAUUGAGUUUUCUAUAAAUGCCUUCGUGUUUUCUGAGCAGAAUGUACGAGGUGUGCCAUCCCAAAACCAGCUGCUACCCUGUCCUUUUAAUGUAAGUCAGUCCCCUUCACUGUGGCCUCGCUGAUGUCUGAUAAGUAUUGUCAGUGUGCAAAAGGCUUUACUUCAGAAUGUUUUAUUUAUAGCAAACUAAGUUGAAAAUUUUAGGAACAGUCUUUGUGGGUGGAUGUCAUUAACUGUAAUUGUUGUUGCCCAGAGCCAUGGGUUUUUUAACCCCAAAUUAUCCACAUGGUGUGUAUUAUGAAUUCUUUGAACUCUUACGGUUUUUGUGAGAAAAGGACUGUGAAUUCAAAACAAUGAGGCACUUGUGGGUGCACUACAUAGAUUCUGACAGUGUUGUGAUUCUGUAUAGGAUUUUUAAAAAUGACAACAUUCACAAAAUUUAUUACUUUUUAAAAAAUAACAUGCCUAUUAACUGGUUGCACUGAUAUAAAAGAAAUAUAUUUGUGUUUUGUUUGUACUAAAAUGCAAAAGCAAGAGUGCAAUUUUUAAAAUCUAGAAGUUAGGGGUUUUGUUGGAGAAAAAUGGACUGAUCUUUAAACUAUUCAGUCUUAUUGGGAUUUUUAUGCAUAGAAACUCACAUAUAAACAUGAAAUAAACAGUGCCAAUAUUCAUAGUAAAGUGAGAAACUAUAAUAUUUGGCCAUUAUUCUAUUCAACAGGUUUUAGAGGCACGCCACCAUUUUUUCCUUAUAUUUUUGCUUAAUUUUUUAAAAUUGUCAUUUAAUUCUUAAAUUCUCAUUUAUUUGAGAUGGAAAUAAGAUCUAAAGUUAGUUGCCUUUGCCUGUAAAACAUGUGAUUUGCAAAUUAUUAUUUUUCUUUUUUUUUUUAACAAAUGGAAGUAAAUUUGUUUCACUAAAUCUUAAUUUUCAACCUUUCUGGAUACCUUAAUUGUAACUGUCAGUGUUGCACUGGUCGGUAUGUGGAAACACAUUGCUCUACCCUGCUACUUACGUUGAUUUUAAAGUGAAUUUACAGUGAUGAAGAAUUUGUGAAAAAUAUAUUUCUUUUGAUGUUUCAAAAGGUUGCCUAUGAAAAACUGAUUUGUUAAAACAUGCUACGUGUCCAAAAAUAAAGACCAGAAUGACAUUUUGAUAAUUUU